rnacentral:rRNA from 1 species
GCAGUNCGGCNUUCGUUAUCCGGAAUCAUNGGGCGUAAAGAGGGAGCAGGCGGCACNAAGGGUCUGUGGUGAAAGAUCGAAGCNNNACNNCGGUAAGUCAUGGAAACCGUAGAGCNAGAGUGUGUGAGAGGAUCGUGGAAUUCCAUGUGUAGCGGUGAAAUGCGUAGAUAUAUGGAGGAACACCAGUGGCGAAGGCGACGAUCUGGCGCAUAACUGACGCUCAGUCCCGAAAGCGUGGGGAGCAAAUAGGAUUAGAUACCCUAGUAGUCCACGCCGUAAACGAUGAGUACUAAGUGUUGGGAGUCAAAUCUCAGUGCUGCAGUUAACGCAAUAAGUACUCCGCCUGAGUAGU